UACGGAGGAUGCGAGCGUUAUCCGGAUUUAUUGGGUUUAAAGGGAGCGUAGGCGGGAAAUUAAGUUAAGUGUGAAAGCCUUGGGCUUAACCCAAGAAAUGCACUUGAUACUGGUUUUCUAGAGUGUAGGAGAGGUAAGUGGAAUUCCUAGUGUAGCGGUAAAAUGCGUAGAGAUUAGGAGGAACAUCAGAGGCGAAGGCGGCUUACUGGACUAUAACUGACGCUGAGGCUCGAAAGCGUGGGGAGCAAACAGG
rnacentral:rRNA from 1 species